ACAUUGGGAGUUUAAUGGUAGAAUUCUUGCCUUCUAUGCAGGAGACCUGGGUUCGAUUCCCAGUCAGUGUA